rnacentral:rRNA from 1 species
AGCGAACGCUGGCGGCAGGCUUAACACAUGCAAGUCGAACGGGCACUUCGGUGCUAGUGGCAGACGGGUGAGUAACACGUGGGAACGUACCUUUCGGUUCGGAAUAAUUCAGGGAAACUUGGACUAAUACCGGAUACGCCCCUCGGGGGAAAGAUUUAUCGCCGAUAGAUCGGCCCGCGUCGGAUUAGCUAGUUGGUGAGGUAAUGGCUCACCAAGGCGACGAUCAGUAGCUGGUCUGAGAGGAUGAUCAGCCACAUUGGGACUGAGACACGGCCCAAACUCCUACGGGAGGCAGCAGUGGGGAAUAUUGGACAAUGGGCGCAAGCCUGAUCCAGCCAUGCCGCGUGAGUGAUGAAGGCCUUAGGGUUGUAAAGCUCUUUUGUCCGGGAAGAUAAUGACUGUACCGGAAGAAUAAGCCCCGGCUAACUUCGUGCCAGCCGCCGCGGUAAUAC